UCCGAAAUUUCAAUAAAGAAAUUAUCGGAAGAAAAAUUGAAGCCCAAAAGAAAAGGAAAAGAGAAAAGGAAAAUUGAAAUAAGGAAUUAUACAUUUCCUUUUCUUUUUCCUCUCUCUCCCUCUCUUUUCUUUUCUUUCUUUUCUUUCUCUCUUCUCUCUCCUCUCCCUUUCCCCCUCGUGCGAAUUCCCCACCGCCCACUUUAUCUCUCUCUUCUUUGACUAGUCAAAACCCCACACCCUUAUCUCUCUCUUUUCUCUCCUCUCUCUUCUUUCUUCCUCUGCACGCUCGACCGAACCCCCUUUUCUUCUUUCUUCUUCUCCUUCUUUUCUCCACGCCGAGCGAACCAGAAGCUGUAGCUCGCCCCUCAGCCGCUUGCCGCUCGUCCCGCUCGCCGCACCGCCGCACCGCCGCCCGCGCCCGUGCGCUCGCCGCCGUCCGCGUGCGCCCAGGCCGCGCGACCCAGCUACUGUUCGCUUCUGUUCCAGCUCCGACCAGCCCAUCUCCGGCCACCUUCGGUCACCGCCAACCCUGCCGGACCUCCCCCGCAACCCCCUCGCCCUCCGCCGGCUUUCCCUCGCCGCCCUAGCCGCCGGAGCAGCUCAGAUCGGCUCCGUCCAGCAGACCCACGGAGUGGGUUUCAGCGACUUCGGGCCCGCUUUUGGGCCGUUUCCCGGCCCCGAACCCGAGCCGUGCUUUGGGAACAAUCGUUCCUCGCGUCA
rnacentral:lncRNA from 1 species